rnacentral:rRNA from 1 species
AUUGAACGCUGGCGGCAUGCCUUACACAUGCCAGUCGAACGGUAACAGGUCUUCGGAUGCUGACGAGUGGCGAACGGGUGAGUAAUACAUCGGAACGUGCCCGAUCGUGGGGGAUAACGAAGCGAAAGCUUUGCUAAUACCGCAUACGAUCUACGGAUGACAGCAGGGGACCGCAAGGCCUUGCGCGAACGGAGCGGCCGAUGGCAGAUUAGGUAGUUGGUGGGAUAAAAGCUUACCAAGCCGACGAUCUGUAGCUGGUCUGAGAGGACGACCAGCCACACUGGGACUGAGACACGGCCCAGACUCCUACGGGAGGCAGCAGUGGGGAAUUUUGGACAAUGGGCGAAAGCCUGAUCCAGUCAUGCCGCGUGCAGGAUGAAGGCCUUCGGGUUGUAAACUGCUUUUGUACGGAACGAAAAGACUCUGGUUAAUACCUGGGGUCCAUGACGGUACCGUAAGAAUAAGCACCGGCUAACUACGUG